rnacentral:rRNA from 1 species
UGUACAGGAGAGAAGAAGCUACUAAGUGGAUAGCUAGGCUUCUGUAGCUGAAGAAGGGCGUAGCAAGCUGCGAAAAGCUUGGGGAAGGCGCAUGCAGCCUUCGAACCCAAGAUCCCUGAAUGCGACUUCGCUACUGGGUAAAACCCAGUAACUCCGGAAGGAGGAGGAACGCGGGGAAUUGAAACAUCUUAGUACCCGCAGGAAAAGAAACCAAAUGGGAUUCCCUGAGUAACGGCGAGCGAAAGGGGAACAGGGCAAAUUGAAUUGUUUAUCGCAAGAUAAACAAGAUGUGAUGGUUGGGCUUUUCCUCAAUACUUAGUCGAAAGUGCUGGAAUGCACUACCAUAGAGGGUGAUAGUCCCGUAGACGAAAAGUAAAGAGGAAAAUACCAACCAAAGAGUACUUGGGCUUGGUAUUGCUCAAGGAAGAUGCCUCUCAAUGAGAGGUAACCCUAAAUACUACAGAAGACCGAUAGCGGACAAGUAGCGCGAGCGAAAGCCGAAGAGAACCCCGAAAGGGGAGUGAAGAGAGCUUGAAACUUAGUAGCCACGGUAUGCCACGGCUCGAAAGUAUUUCCUCUGAAGGAAAUUCUCGUAAGAGAAGAGUACAGAAGAGGAAAUUCAGGGUUGUGGCGUUCCUUUCGGAUAAAGAGCCAGGGAGUUUGCACAAGUGGCGAGGCUAAGAGCAGCAAGCUCGGAGCCUAAGCGAAAGCAACAUGCCCGCAGUGAUGAACGAGGGGCGGAGUAUGAAAGUGCUCGGAGUCACUUGUGCAAAACCCGAAACCGCACGAUCUAGUCCUGGGCAGGACGAAGCGAGGUCUUUUUGAUCUCGUGGAGGUCCGUAGGGGUGCUGCGAGCAGGCGCUCCUCUGACCUGGGACUAGGGGUAAAAUACCAAUCGUGUGCGGAGAUAGCUGGUUCCCCUCGAAAUGAGACCAAAGUUCAGUCUCACCGGAGAUGGUUUAGGAGGUAGAGUUACUGAUUUGACACGUAUGUCUCGAAAGGGACAACUGUCAAGUCAAACUCCGAAUUCCUAAACAUCGUAGAUGGUGGGAAAUGGGGAGUGGGGGUAAGCCCCGCUUCCGAGAGCGCAAAAACGCCAACUGGGGUUAAGGUCCCAAAAUGCUGACUAAGUGAGAAACUGUGUGUUCACUCUUAGACAGCGGGAAGGUAGGCUUAGAAGCAGCCAUCCUCUAAGCAACGCGUAAUAGCGGACCCGUCGAGAGUGAAUGCCGGGAAAAUGGACGGGACUAAGUCAGCUACCGAUACCCCAGACCUCGAAAGAGGGGGUAGAGGGGCGUUCUGGAUGCGUAGAAGGAAGUUCGUGAGAACUUCUGGAGCGUCCAGAAUUGAGAAUCCUGGCGGUAGUAGUAAGUUAGCAGGGUGAGAAUCCCUGUCGCCGUAAGGGCAAGGGUUCCUCAGCUCCUUUCGUAGGCUGAGGGUUAGCCGGUCCUAAGCCAUAGCUUAAGACGCGAAGGCGAAAGGGAAGCAGGUUAAUAUUCCUGCGCCACCUAAGUACCUUGCCGCGAGGCAAAGAUAGCUCCAUGACACUUUGGGCUAGGCUGAGACGAACCAUCGUUCGUUCUAACUAGACCAAAUCUGGGAAGUAGCUUAAGGCUGAGAACCAGAUUAAGUCUAGGAAUGGUUCCCUGUAUAGGGAAUUCAGCUGAUGCCUAGAGUCCUUGAAAAGUGGAGCUAUAAAUGGGAUCUUAGGUGUCCGUACCCACAACCAACACUGGUGCCCCUAGCUGAGAAGGCUAAGGCGUGUGGGGCAAACUCGGGUUGAGGGAAAUCGGCAAAUUAGCCCCGUAACUUCGGGAGAAGGGGUGCCUGUGGAGGUCCGCAAGGGCUUCUGCGGGUCGCAGUGACAAGCAAGGGGGGACUGUUUACCAAAAACAUAGGCGACUGCAAGUGUCAAAGCAUAAGUACAGUCGCCGACGCCUGCCCAGCGCAGAUACCUGAAAGCUCGGUUCAACGGGCCCAAGGGUCUGUUAGCGGCGGAGGUAACUGUGACCUUCUUAAGCAAGCGCAAUGCCUUGCCAUUUAAAUGAUGGCUUUGCGAACGGCGUAACUACCUCUUGACUGUCCCCAACCCGAACCCUGCGAACUCACUCUCCUGGUGUAAAGGCCAGGGACUUCCGAUGGGUCACAAAGACCCCAGGAGCUUCACUGCAGCCUGUUGUUGCGUUAUAGGUCUUGGAAUAAAGCGUAAGCAGGAGACUACGAAGCAGGCUCGCUAGGGUCUGUGGAGUCGAAAUUGAAACACUGCUUUCUAAGAUUUAUAGCGCUAACUUCCCGAAAGGGAAGGACAGCAAUUGGUGGGCAGUUUAGCUGGGGCGGCAUGCCGGCGAAAAGAUAUCACCGGCGCCCAAAGAUCAGCUUAGCAGGUUUAGAAAUCCUGCGUUAAGUGCAAGGGCAAAAGCUGGUCUGACUGCUUUCCUUACAUUAGGGAAAGCAGGCUCGAAAGGGGGGCCUAGCGAACCUCUAUGCUCUCUCAUUGAGAGCUAGAGAUGACAGAAAAGCUACCCUGGGCGUAACUGGCUUGUCGCGGGUGAGAGCUCACAUCGACCCCGCGGCUUGGUACGCCGAUGUCGGCUCAACCCAUCCUGGUCGUGCAGCAGCGACCAAGGGUACGGGUGUCCACCGGUUAAAGGGUUUCGUGAGCUGGGUUCAGAACGCUGUGAGGCAGUUCGGCCGCUAACUAUCGGAAGUGCUGGCUGACUGAGUGGAAGUAUCCCUCAGUACGAGAGGAACUGGGAUACGGCGCCUCUGGUCAAGGGGUUGUCUGAUAAGGCAUCAAGCCCCGCAGCUACGCGCUAAGGGAUAACUCCUGAAUGCAUCUAAGGAGGAAACCCUCCGCAAAAAAAGUCAGCCUUAAGGCCAGCAGUUAGAAGACUGCGUUGAUAGAGUUGGGGUGUAAAGACCGUUCGAAGGUCUGAGCCCGCAACUACUAAUAGGCCAAAUCUCCUGUACG